rnacentral:rRNA from 1 species
GAUGAACGCUAGCGGCAGGCCUAAUACAUGCAAGUCGAACGGUGUCUUCGGACAUAGUGGCGCACGGGUGCGUAACACGUAUGCAACCUACCUUACAUUGGGGGAUAGCCUUUCGAAAGGGAGAUUAAUACCGCAUAAGACAGUAGCUGGGCAUCCAGCAGCUGUUAAAGAUUUAUCGAUGUAAGCUGGGCAUGCGUCCAAUUAGCGAGUUGGUGAGGUAACGGCUCACCAAGGCAAUGAUUGGUAGGGGAACUGAGAGGUCAAUCCCCCACACUGGCACUGAGAUACGGGCCAGACUCCUACGGGAGGCGGCAGUAGGGAAUAUUGGGCAAUGGACGCAAGUCUGACCCAGCCAUGCCGCGUGCAGGAUGAAGGCGUUAUGCGUUGUAAACUGCUUUUAUACAGGAAGAAACGACUCUUGCGAGAGGCAUUGACGGUACUGUAUGAAUAAGCACCGGCUAACUCCGCGCCAGCCGCCGCCGUAAUAC